CCGGCGCGUCCGGGGAACAGCGCGGCCCGGCCCCAGGACGGUGCGAGGAGGGACUGAGAGCCCGCGGCUCGCAGCGCAGACGGGGCAGGGAGCUGCCUCAGACAGGUGUGCCGCGCCUUUGAAGCCCGGGAAUAAAGCGAGACAGAGCGCGCAAGAUCCAAGACUGACUUGCACGACCUCCUUGCCUAUAGAAUGGAAAAUGGAUCAAUGUAUUUCAGUCUGACCUUGUAAACAGCUGUAACUGAAGAAAAUCCCUUGGCAAGUGACAAGUAAAGUGGAAUUGUAAGUAUCCCACAGAGGUAACUGCUGGUCUCCCACUGUGUCUUUAUGGAGUUAAUACACAGGAAUGAUGCUUUGUUUCAAAGAGGAGGGAUGCUAAAAAGUGCCAUCAGCAUCUGCCAACUAUAAACUGAUUACUCCAUGGCAGGGUUAGAUUACCCCUUCCAGAUGUACUGAACCUGUUAUAUUUGUGAUAUCCAACAAUCUGCUUGCUCUAUUAUAAUAGCACAGGAGCAUGUGAUUAGUCUGGCUUCAGAGAAGGCUAUUUUGUACUACAGCAGAAUUUCCUACUUAAGGAGUGCUCAGGAAGGAAGAAGUGAGAGCUGAAGACUGACAUGCCAACAGGUGUGCUCACACACUACUUGCAGCCAGAAAAAUCCAACUCAUCCUGAAUCAAUUUAGUGCUUUGCUUCAGUGCUUUCAGAAACGGUGAUUAAGACUUCAUGUUAUAAUCUGGAACAAAGUGAUUAAUGGUCCCUCAAAAAUCCACACAAGGUCUCAGCUGUAACUUACUGUUUUCACCACUGUUGGAGACAAUAAAGGAAGGAAGAGUGUGAAACAAAGUGAUAAGGAUUUGUGGCUUUGGGGCUGGAAAAGCUUUGGCUUAUAAGGCUAAGUAGCUUAAUGUUGGGCAUACAGACAUCUCAAUCACAGGGUGGCUGUCACAAGCAGCUUGUCAGGCUUCAUCUGGAGAGGUUUACAAUGCAUCCUGUAAUGGAGUGUGAUUACUGCUGUCACAAACAUCAGAUGAGAAGUCAGAAAAUAAACAUAGUCCAGCAUCUGACACGAAGUCUGUGGUUUUACCAUUGUUUAAUUACCUUAGUUAAAGGAAUGCAAGUAUUGGUUGUUCCAGAAAGGGUUUUUAGACAUACAGAAAAAUCCUCACAUAAAUAUCACUUAUAUAAUUUAAUGUUUUUAACCUGUUUAAAAUAAUAAAAUUGUACAUGAUUGUAAGUAUCAAAUACUUGUUCAGUUUACAAACACGACUCAAACUUUCCUAGCUUGUUCUGAACAGCAAGGAAGACUGUGUGUCAUAUACAUUGUAGGUAGCUGUUGGCCAGUUAAUACAUAGUUGGGAGCAAAAUUGUUGUUACAGAACUCAGUAUUUUUUUAAUUCCAAAAGCUUAUCUGCUUUCUAUUAACCAGCCAGUUCAAAGGGUCAGUAAAGAUCAUGUUUUGUACACUGAGGACUGUAUGAACACACAGCCAUCAGGAACUACCUUGGCUUAGUAGUUCAUCUAAUAUUUAGAAAUACUUUUCCCCAUUAUUUCAAAUACAGCUUUUACCUGGUAUGAGACCCUCUUGGCAGUGGGAAAGGGAAGAAAAUAUUUUUGUAUAAAUGUAUUUUGGUUUGGAUGAUGGUGUUUCCCAUCCAUGCAUGCUUAUGAACAAAACCCUUACAAGGAGCUGUGAAGUAAUAGAAAUAAAGGGGGGUGGAUACUCAUUCUGUUAAAUCUUGACUGGCCAGUAGAGGACAUAGCCUCCCAAAUCCUAUUUAGGGUUAAAAGAAUUGAUCCUUGUGCAUCUACUUGGCUUUGUAAUUGUGUCCUUACCUACUAUGAUAUUUAAUUAAACAUUAAAAUAUAGUUAAAUAGA